UGAGCUUACAAUAGAUAACGACGGAUAGCAAAAUCCCUUAUUUUAAUUCCUAAAUUUAUGAAAACUGAAAAAAUCGUGUAAAACAUAUCAACAUUAGCGAGUAAAACAGAGCAGAAAAAGCGAAUAGCCAGAGAAAGAUAUAAAAUAUAGGCAGAAUUAAUCUUCGGCUAAGUCAAGGCAAUUUCUAGGAUCUCCUAAAGCAUUUCGAACAAACUUAGUAUGCCUACCUUUAGCAAAGACCUCAUUAGAAGAUGUCAAAAAAUCAACGCUCGUAAAAGCAAUGUUUGAUCCUAAUCGAUCACACUUUGCGUGCAGUAAAAUUGAUGAACCUAAAGUACCACCACUUUGUAAAAAAGUUUGAUUCAUAUCUAUUGACACGCCAGAAAUAAAAAGCCCUCGACUGGCCAAUGCUAAACUUCCUCCCAAAUCAGUGAGUGCUGCAAUACAACCGCCAUGCAAAUUACCCAUACGAUUUAGGUGAUGCUUCUGCAGUUUCAGAGAGCAUUCUACAAAUCCUGGAACUGCACUUAUAAUUUGUAUAUCACUGACUACAUGAGCAUCAAACCCAUUGGUAUUUACAAAAUCCUGCCAAACAGAACGAACGAAAGAAAGCACCUUAGUACCAGAGCUAUUAAUUGCCAUUGUGUCUUAAAACUUCGUUUAACAGGUAUCAAUCACUGUAAAAGUAAGUACCUCAGGUGAAUUGGUUAUGUUGUGGCAGUUCUUGGCUACUCGCAGCAGCGAUACUUGUAGUUAGUAAGGAUUUACAAGCCAUUUGCCUGCCUAUAGUAAUAUCACCAAAUCAUUAUUACAAAUGGUAAUAUAAUUAAAUGAACAUUAAAUACAAGAAUAUGAAUAUUGUUUGGAUUAUUCAAAUAACGGAUAUUUUUUUUUUCUAAUGACGAGAAGAAGAAAUUCAUAAUUUGAACGUUAAAGAGUUGCAUCAUUAAAACUUGAAUUUCGUAUAAAUAUCCAACAC